UACGUAGGGCGCGAGCGUUACUCGGAAUCACUGGGCAUAAAGGGCGUGUAGGUGGACGCGUAAGUCCGGUGUAAAAUCCCCCGGCUCAACCGGGGAAGGCCAUCGGAUACUGCGUGUCUUGAGUGCGGGAGGGGAGAGUGGAACUCUUGGUGGAGCGGUGAAAUGCGUAGAUAUCAAGAGGAACGCCGGUGGCGAAAGCGACUCUCUGGCCCGUUACUGACACUGAGGCGCGAAAGCUAGGGGAGCAAAC
rnacentral:rRNA from 1 species